UUCAUCUCCCUAUGUUGAAAUAUUGACAUAAAAGUGCAACCUAUUUACAUAAUUGUGAAUUAGUUUUUAUUUUCAGUUUUUUCAAUAUUUGUCCUAACAAAUAAAAAGUGUAGCUACUUGUGUUUUUUCUUCUCUUUAGACUUUAGACGAAAUGGACUUUCUCAACGACCAUUCCACCAAAAUCACAACUACUCGCACUCUCUACGGAAUUUCCAACAAAUAAUUACUCGAAACGAUUGCUCAAGGAAAAAUGGGGAAUAUGAUAGUUGAGUUAGGUCCAACUACAUACAUUUCUUAACAGAAAUCUACAACACUUGAAGACAUAGUGCUAUCCACAAAUUUGAACAAAAGUUGAAGAAUGCUGGUACCAGUUGAAUUCAGUACUGCUGUUGUUUUAGUUUUCGUAUAAGAUAAAAGGCAGUUAAAUACCAUGCUGAUUUUUGUAUGGAAAAGUGAAAUCUAAGUGGCGAAGAAUACCAUGAUUUUGUA